rnacentral:misc_RNA from 1 species
ACGCACGCAUACGCAGACUUACGCCCACAUAUCUACUUCUUCUUGCGCUGCGUGUUUCGUCCCAGCGCGUUGCGCGCGCCGGAAGACGGCCAGCGAUGAACUUUAGUGCAGCGCCCAAGGGUACGGAGACGACCCCGUCACGCGUGCCAUUGAAGGGCCUCACGCACCUGCGCCGCAGCCGCAUCACUCAUCUUUCCACUCCCCACUACGCCCAAACUGCGGCGUCUGCAUCCGCAAGUUCACUGUUGUUUACCUCCACCUCCUCAGCCGCCCACCCAGCGGCGCGAACAUUCACGUCGCCGUCGUCCAGGGGGCAUCGCACCCCUGGCGCUUCGGCAGCCUCAACGUGGGAUGUGCAAAGGGCUGCGUCUGCGCGUUGCGCAAGUCGCUUCUCGUCACCGCAGGCUCUAGGACCUUAUACAGGUAGCGUCAGGAGUCCAGCAUGGCAUGGCCGCUCUCGGCUGGCCCUCGCCGCGUUCGGCAACGGCAGUGGCGGCGGAGACACAUCCAGCAGGGCACCCUGGCGCCACCAUGUGGCAGCUGUGUGCCACCGCUUACAGCAUACCGUGCAGGAAGCUGAGCAGAUACUGGUGCCUGCGGCAGCCUCCGCUGCCUCGGCACCAUCCAGCACCCCUCUCGACCAAAACAGUAGUGGGGGGCUUCCGUGCACACUGGCGCAGGCCAUGGAUGCACUGCAACGGUACCGCAGUGGCUGCAUGGCGGCCAUGCUGGAGCUGGAUGCGCUGCAGCAGCAGCACGGCCUCUCAGCCUCCUCAACGCCCCCUCCGACCGGGGAGGCGGAGGAUCCCACGAUCCUCUGCUCUCCGAUUCAGUCAGUGCACGGACGCACGGCCCACGAGGAGGACGACGCGGACACCUCGCCGCCCAGCCUCACGGACGCGGCGCAGCUCUACCGCCGAUACCAUCUCAUCAAAGCGCACCUCAACGACACCGUAGCGGCGCAGUCCGCGUACAUGCAAGAGAUCACGCUUCAGCAGCAGCUCCGCGAGCGUGAGGGGGUCAUGUGCGAGUAUAUGUGGACGGCGCGGCUGCUUGUGGAGCAGGAAGCGGCAGAGCGUGCGCACCUUGUCUCACUGUGGGCGUAUCUCAUCGCGUCCGCACCGGAGCGGCCGACGGCGUCCAAUGCACGUGCCGGUACCGGGUUCAAGCCUACGGCGGCAGCGCGUAUGCUGCACACCCUCGCCACAGCAGCGCCGCCUCCGCCAGAGCCAGCCAAGCUCGCCUCCUAUGUCGCCGCAGCUCCGCUGCCGCAGCCGCCCACACACGGCGACACCGCGGCUGCUCGUCUGGCGGCGCAGAACGAGUCUCUGCUGCACGAUCUUCACCAUUCGAACGAGCGCACUUACGCGCUGCUACACGAGCAACAGAAGGGCCUACAGGAAGCACAGGAGCGUGCGCUGGCGCAACUGGUUGCCCGCCACGAUGCGGAGAAGAGUGUUCUGGAGGCACGUGUGCGCGCGGCGCAGGAGGCAGCGGCCCAAUCACAGCACCGCCUUACCGAAGUAAGGCAGGCGCUCGCAGCUGCGCAGUCUGCCACCUGCGAGAUGCAGCGGUGCGCCGGCUUGACGUAUGACGGCAUGCACCAGCAACUGAAGGACACAACAAAGAAGAUGUGGCAGCUCCAGCUCGCGAACGAUCACCUCGAUGCCAAGGCGCGGGUGCUGGAGAGGGAGCUGGAGGAGCUGCGGUUGAGUCCCUCGUCGGUGCGAAACGGCCAAGGAGGCAACGGGACAGCGUCCUCUGCAGCAGAGCAGGCAAGCGGGUUGGCGUCGCUCUCGGCCGCCGGCGCAGCGUAUUCCAGCAACGGCUGCGCCAGAAAUGACGGUGGCAGCCGCACCGGAAGCGUGACCAAUGUCCGCCACGGACAGCCGCCCGCGUCAUCGCGUCGUGCAAGCGCACAGAGAGCAGCCGGUGGUGGCCGCAGGGGUGGCAAAGCCCAAUCCGUGAGCCCUGGUGUGUGGUGUGCGUACGAGGAGCGCAGCGGUCUCUUGACAAGCGCGACGCCAGUGAAGCAGCUGUCGCUAGGCUCCUCCCUCUCCUCUGGACACGCCCUCGCCGCGACGCGCUGGACACAGGAGCUGCAGCACGGGAAUGCACAUCCGCGCUCGCCCUUCAUUCGCAUGGCCCACUCGCAUGGAUCCUCGCUCUUGGUCGUCUCCGCCAACUCGACAACGACGGACACGGACGAGAACGCGUCGAACGUGAAUGAGCAUGAUGCCGCGUACGCACCCACGUCGAAUACGCAUCAAUGGAGACCCCCGUCAGUCACCGGUAAAGUGGGGGAUGACGACAAGGACAGCAUCAGCAGCAGCCGACAUCGACUGUUUGAGCGCACGCUGUCGCCGGCUCGCCAGCUCUCGCUCGACCGCACCCCUGCACAGCAAUCCUCUGUGGCCGCAGCGGCCUACCCAUUAUGCGUUGAGGCAUCGGAGAUAGACAACGAGCGUGACUCGGUCGCCCACAGUGACCCAUCACGGGCGCAACCGAAUGCAGCAAGGCACUGCUCCAGUGCGUCAGCGCAGACAAACGCGGCCGAGUCCCUCCGCAGCGCGACCCCUCGCCUCGGCGGGGUCCUUGCAACCAGCUCGGGCCGUUUGCAGGCUCCGUCCGACACCGCGUAUGAUGGUGGACACCCGCCCCCGCUGACGGUUCCGCACAUGGACAACUUGACGAAUGGCGAGAGAGCAACGGCCAAGUCCGCCGCCGCCGUCGCGGAGGGAGAAGAGGUGGAGCUGCAGCCUUCGUUAGCGUCGGUGUGCUCUUCCCCGAUAGCGUCCGGCUCACUUGCAAGAUUGGAGGCUGUGCGUCGCGAUAUCCUCCGCCACGCCGAGCGGCUGGAACGGGAAGUGCAGGUAGUGACCUCCCGUCACGAUGCAGCGCGACGACAGCGGCGGCGCGAGAGAGACACGCUGCGCGUGAACGCGUCCGUACACAGCGGUAGCAACAGCCCAGCCACCUCUGAGCCGCGCAACGACGAAGGUCGGGACACGGGUGUGGGCCAUGCCGACGACGCCGACUCUGAAGCGCUCAAUCGCGCCCUCGAGGAACUCCACAUUGAGCAGCAGGAGGACGACGACGAACUCGAGCGCUUCUACGCCCACGUCAACCAGAAGCGGAUGGAGCUGGAGCGGUGCCUGCGCUCUGUGGAGGACAGGCUGGCCUCCCUGCUAUAAGAAAUAUUCAGUUUCGCUUCCCAUCUUCCCGCGUACCCAUCCCUGACUACAGAGGACACACACACGCACACACCUCCCAGUGCGUGGUAUCGCAGGGUCCAGCACCACCACCACCACCACUCUGAGGGAGAAAGCCGAGAAGCAGCCGCACUUCUAUCCGUGUCAAUGUCCAACCACUUCUGGUGGUGACAGGGUCAGGCACUCACAGCGUGGGGAGAGGGGGUAGGUAGGGGAGGUCAGAGCGAUGUAUCUUGACUGAUGCCGUCGUCCAGGUUGUGGACGUCGCUGCGUCGGUUUGACCUGCAACAGUGAGCACGUCUGUGCCAUUCAUGCAAUGGGCAGAGCUUCGGCGUGGCUCUGACGUGCCCCUCACACUGCCUGCUGGUGGAGGAGCUGCUGUGAGACGGGCCGGCGAGGGGCAGAUCGUGGGUAAGGGUUUGAAGCAUAGGUGGUACUCAGGUAACCGAGUGGGCGCACUGCUGCACUGGCGUUUCCAGCGCUGCUUCGCACCACACGAUGGGGCCUGUGGCAGGGCCGAGGGGUCGAGCGGAGGUUGAGCUCGUGUUGUGUGGCAGAGAAAUGGUCACCUGCUGCAUAUAUAUAUAUAUAUAGGCCAGAAGUGCCCUUUUGGUGCGUGCGGCUCAAGUGAUACACGCGCACGCACGCGCACUUCGGCGCCCCCCCCCGAGCGUCACCUCCGUCACGCCACGAUAUGCUGAGCAUGCGCUCAUUGCGCUGCAGCGCCUGCUCUCUCUCUCUUUUCUUUCGCGCAUCCGUAUUCACCUGUUGUGUCUGUGUGUGUCUGUGUGUGUGUGUGUGUGUGUGUCGGCCGAAGGUUGUGUUCUUUCUUUUCGAUGUGUUGGAUAAGGCACCGCUGCUCAAGUCAAUGCG